ensembl:lncRNA
CCCAAGCAGGAUAGUGUUAGUGGGAUCCAGCUGGGAGCCGAGCCUCCACCGCAGGAGGCAUCGAUGAGGCUGAAUGAGGUGGUAGGAGCUAGGGCUAGUUGGCACUCUGCUUCCUCCCAUCUGUUUUCCUGGUGUCAGAGGGGUGCAGCGGGGAGAGAAAGCUGCCUACCCUGCAGCAACAAAGAGGGUUGCUGUACAAAUCAAAGAAAAUAAUGAAUGUUCCCUGCCUGACACAGUGUACAUAAAGGGAGAACUGCCUGUGGACUGGAAUGGAGUCAGACUGGAUGUGGCCUGAAAACUUAAAUAUAUUGAUUAUUAAUUCAUGAUUCUUAAGACCCUGUAGAAGUCUUCCUGUACAAACUCACACCCAGUUUAUGAAUUCCUCGGUCAAAUUUGUAUUCUGAAGUAAGCACAGAUUUUGGACUCUGAGAAUAUGGACCUGACGCUCAUUAUCAGUGUAAUUUGGGGCAAGUCAAACAUCGUCUGUCAUCUGAAAAAUGGGAAAAAGAAUGAUAAUAUAUGACUUACAGGAUUAAAGAGAGGUUUCAAGUAAUAUAAUAUCAAAAAUGCCUUCCCAGCUGUACAGUGAAUUUUAAUUAUAAUUUUCCUGAUAUUUAAAAGAUGGGGAGCACAGUGUGCGGUAUCUAGAAUGGGGCACAAUUCUCCGGAUGUGUUCAGACCGGCAUCUAUCACCUCCCUUGAACUGGACUCUACCUUUGCUUAGCUUUAGAUUUAUUUUUGGCCUUACAGCAAUAAUUAUAGUCCCAUCAAUGAAUGCUUACUACUGGCCACGCACACUACUAAUCCUAUUCUUCUAAAAACCUGUGAAGCAGGAAUUGUUUUCCCCAUUGUUAUAGACGCAGUCUAGAGAGUUAAGCACUUGCCCAAGUUCACAAGUUCACAAAGUUCACACUACAAGGGCCCUGGUGUGUGGGAAAAACGAGUAUUUGGCUACAGUCCUGCCUGAGGCCCUUCCACACUACCUUGCGUUAAAGUUAAAGCAAUGUCAACUCCUUAUCCUAAAUACCAAGAGGGAGUUUUCCCCUAUGUACAGUGAAAAUUUUGUCAUCUUGAUUUGUGAUUAUUUCUCAAGUAUAUCAAGAUAUAUGAAAACCUGUUUUUGUCUUCAUGUGUAUUGGACUUUAUGUAAUCUGCAAACCGAUAUGCAUUGUCAAUGUAUUCAUCAAGUCCAUUGAUAAAACAGAGUUGACUGGACGGGGCACCAGAGACCCCUCUCCAUAGUGACCAAUCCAGGAAUCUAUACCAUUUGGGUCUGGUUGUUCAGCCACUCUAAAUCCAACUUCACUGCAUUUUCAUCCCGCCUACAUUCCUUCAUCUUGCUAACAGUAGCAUGAGAAAUCUUGUCAAAUACCAGGCUAGGAUUUGGUAAGUGAUGUCCAUGAUACACUCCUUAUUUCCAGGCUAGUGACCCAUGUUGAUUUAUGGUUAAUCAGAUAAAGCGUUUUUAAAUGACAAAAAAAUAUUAAAAUAUCACCAUUGCUGUGAAAUCACAAAGGAAUGCUUAUAAAAUAUUCAACUCCAGAUAUAAAAUGCAUUUUAUGAUAGAAAUUAUGUUUUAAUUGUUACAGACUGUAAUCCAAAUUCAGUGAAAAUCCUGUUAUUAUAAUUUUAAGCAUGUUUAGAAAUUAUAGGUGUGGGAGGCAAUAACAAUUUUCACUUUGUGACAUUUUCAUAAUGAUACUAAAAAUAUUUUCAAAAAGUUAACAGCAUUAUAAAGAUGUGAAAAUUCAUGCAAUUAUGAAAAAACAUGCUACCAAAAUGAUUAAAUAUUUUACUGAUUAAAAAAUAUUGCAUAGGUUUAAAUUAAAUAUAACAGACCUGUUACCUUUCAGAAUUUGAACUCAUUUUAUCUGGCCUAAUCCAUGCCUCUCUUGGUCAUUCAUUCAUUCAUCCAUCUAGCAAAUAAAUUAUGUUUGCAAAUGAAGUGCUUGCACUUGGGAAGUUUUGUAAUAUAUU